CGUACACUCCUACGGGAGGCAGCAGUGGGGAAUAUUGCACAAUGGGCGCAAGCCUGAUGCAGCCAUGCCGCGUGUAUGAAGAAGGCCUUCGGGUUGUAAAGUACUUUCAGCGGGGAGGAAGGCGAUAAGGUUAAUAACCUUGUCGAUUGACGUUACCCGCAGAAGAAGCACCGGCUAACUCCGUGCCAGCAGCCGCGGUAAUACGGAGGGUGCAAGCGUUAAUCGGAAUUACUGGGCGUAAAGCGCACGCAGGCGGUCUGUCAAGUCGGAUGUGAAAUCCCCGGGCUCAACCUGGGAACUGCAUUCGAAACUGGCAGGCUAGAGUCUUGUAGAGGGGGGUAGAAUUCCAGGUGUAGCGGUGAAAUGCGUAGAGAUCUGGAGGAAUACCGGUGGCGAAGGCGGCCCCCUGGACAAAGACUGACGCUCAGGUGCGAAAGCGUGGGGAGCAAACAGGAUUAGAUACCCCGGUAGUCCC
rnacentral:rRNA from 1 species